UACCAAGCUCCAGUCUGAUUUGGCUUGGUUUCUACGGUUGAAUGCUCUUCCUAAUGCCAACCAUGUCAAGAGUGUAGUGGGUGCCUUUUACAUGUCACCAGCACGUGUGCCUCUUAUAUAUCACCUGCACAGGUGCCUUUUAUGUGUCACCAGCACUGGUCUUGAUCACUUGUCAUUGCCUCUGUGAGACUCAAUAUCUCAAGAGCAUGCUUCACCACCUCAUCUCAUGUCUUCUUGGGUCUGCUUUUUCCACAGGUUCCCAUCACAGUUAGAGAUUGGCACUUCUUUACGUAGCUAUCCAUAUACACUUCACACAGCUGUCCUUGUCCGUUGGUUUCGCACCUAUAAAUCGUUUUGUAGUAUAGGCAACUUGUGAAACUCAAACUGAGUCUGACAAGUCACAUUCACAGCUAAGCGCUUCAUAGGUGUGAAAUCAAUGGUCACUCUCUGACCGGCCGUGAUAAUCAACCUUCUAAAUAUACUACUUCAGUUAAAUAUGAAAUAUCAACAGUCAAGGAAAGUUAUCAACUGAAAUAAGAUACUUUCUCAAUAAUAGAAUGCAUCCUCAUGUCAGUAUUAAAGUGUUCAAGCACUGCAAAAAUUACAACUGGCAUUUCUCAAAGAACUAUAACAUCCUCCUCUCUAUCAUUUUAUAUAAAUGAAAAAUAAGGUACAGCAUUGGAAAAUUUGAAAUUGGCAAAGGCGGGAUGGGGGUAGAAGAAAAGAAAUCAGCAAAAUCAGUUAGUGAACCGAGACAACUAGAGUCAUGGCCACAAGCAGGCAGCCACUAAAGACAAACGGCCAGAGGGAGAAAGAAGGGAAACAAUCAGCAACUAUAAGACACAACUUAGCUCGACUCUAUAAUUUUCACUAGCUCAAUUUCUUGUCUGUAUUCUAUCUCUACUGUGGAUUACUACUACGAGAACGUGUACGCACAUACCGGCCGAAAUUAACUUUCUUAACCUCGCAUGCUCUUUCAAUUAUAUUAUACCUGCCUGUUGAUGUAUGACAUUAUAUUAAGUAACGAUUCUAUAUGUGACUGUUUCAUCAUGCCAUUUACAAAAGAAGCCUUGGAACUGUCUGAAUUUCAAGGAGGGUGUAGCGGCAGGUAAACUGACAUCUGGCUGUUCAAAGAAAACUUCUAAAGUAACAAGUAGUGACUUCUCUUGAAAAUGAACAAAAUUUAGCAUCAUGGUGCUAUCAAUACCUGCAGAAUAAGGGCUUAGCCCCUAAGGAUAUUCAUGCUGAUAUGGUUGCUACAUUAGGGGAUGAUACUCCAGAUUUACCAACAGUGCAAAUGUGAGCAGCUGAAUUUAGGAGGGGUACUGAAAAUCUUGAAGAUGACCCAACUACCAUCACUGAGGAAAACUGAUUGUGUUCACCACAUGGUGAUGGAUAACAGGCAAUUGAUUAUAUAUCAAAUAGCAAUUAAUAAAACUAUUAAUACCAUUAUUAUUAUUACACUGGUCAACAAGUAUUUUUCAUCAAGUGUAUGUCAAGGUGUACUUAGUGUAGUUUUCAAUGCUGAUUUCAAAUAUACAAUUAGUUUUUUGACAUCAUGUACAGUUUUCAAGAUGAGAAAGUUAUUUGGUUUUAGCUCUUGCAUUAUAUAAAAAUUCCAAUUAAUGAUGUGUAUGCAUGUAUUUCAGUUACAACAUGGAAAUAUACCUUUAAAAUAAACUACUUAUCCAUUGCUGCAUAGUUCAGAUGCAAUAUUUCAUCAUCUUAAAUUAACCAAUCAAGUUUUGUCUGAUGAAAUAGGUAUUUCAACACCUGAAAUU